GGCCUGAUGGUCUAGUAGUAUGAUUCCUUCUUCGGGCUCGCACCCGGACAACUUGGUUGUCUUUGAUUGGAGGAGGUCCCGGGUUCAAUUCCCGGUCAGGCCC